UGUGGAGUUGGGGCUCAGUGGCAGAGCGUUUGCCUGGCACGUGUGAGGCCCUGGGUUCGAUCCUCAGCACCACAU
rnacentral:tRNA from 1 species